rnacentral:lncRNA from 1 species
AAUUUUAGAAAAUUAAAUCAAAAGGUUUAUUUUGCAAACUUUUGAAACUUUUGUCGCAAGGUUUAAAGUGUAACUUUCAAAAGUUACAGGGGGUAAUUUGUAAGAUUCAAAACCCGGGUACAAUAACUUCAACACCUUCAAAAGUAGGGGGGCCAAACUGCACUUUUGCAGCGGCCACCCCCCUUUCGCCGCUGUUACGCCGGAGUCGGCGUUCCGUCGCUCAGAAUCUUGCACAAAAGUGCAGAUUUGAAGCUUACAUCCCCACAAACUCAAUGGUGUGCUUAGUGUGUGCAAAGGAAUGGCCAAUCGGCCGGAAAAUGGAAGAGAAAGCGGCGGCACCGCUUCUUUUUCCGGAACCCGGCGAGUUUAUCUCGCCUCCUUCAAACAAACCGAGCCCACCAGCAUAUUCCCCUCAUCCUCCUCUCUCUAUCCAUAUAUACCACCUCUGCCCAGACUUAACGAAUCAAAAAUCCGGUCAAAAACUCAAAUAUUCCGGCGAAGAACUCAAGAACACCAAGAACACUCAAUAUUC